rnacentral:rRNA from 1 species
AUUGAACGCUGGCGGCAGGCCUAACACAUGCACGUCGAACGAGUGGCGGACGGGUGAGUAAUAUCUGGGAAAAUGCCUGAUGGAGGGGGAUAACUACUGGAAACGGUAGCUAAUACCGCAUACCAUCAGAUUUGCCCAGAUGGGAUUAGCUUGUUGUUGGGGUAACGGCUCACCAAGGCGACGAUCACUAGCUGGUCUGAGAGGAUGACCAGCCAACAUGGACCUGUGACACGGCCCAGACUCCUCAGGGAGGCAGCAGUGGGGAAUAUUGCACAAUGGGCGCAAGCCUGAUGCAGCCAUGCCGCGUGUAUGAAGAAGGCAUUCGGGUUGUAAAGUACUUUCAGCGGGGAGGCGUUACCAGCAGAAGAAGCACCGGCUAACGCCGUGCCAGCAGCCGCGGUAAUAC